UGUCUAAACGACUCUCGGCAACGGAUAUCUCGGCCCUCGCAUCGAUGAAGAACGUAGCGAAAUGCGAUACUUGGUGUGAAUUGCAGAAUCCCGUGAACCAUCGAGUCUUUGAACGCAAGUUGCGCCCGAAGCCAUUAGGCCGAGGGCACGCCUGCCUGGGCGUCACACGUCGUUGCCCC
rnacentral:rRNA from 1 species